CUGUGAAGAAGUGGAGGACUUCUGAAGUAAUGUUUUAUAGAUUUCAAUAUCUUUCUUGGUAGAUCAAUUACUUUUGAUGAAAAAUUGUGAUGAAUAGCAUACAUUAAUCAUGUAUAUCACUUUUCCUCUGAAUGUCAGGUUUAAUUGAAAAAUAUGCUAUUGGUUGAAAUCUUUAGACAAGAAAACUAUUAAAUGAAUUUUGAUUAUAUUGAUCAUUGUGAUAAAUCAAUCUAGUUAUGGUUUACAUAAAAUAGUCCAUAUCCGACACUGGAUGUCGAAAGUAUUCACGAAUGUUGAAAAGUAUAUUGUUUUAAUACAGUCCAAUUUUUCUAAAUUUAUUGAGUUUUAAAACUGCGUCGUUUGAUAAGCAUGCGUUAACCAAUAGAAUACACACAACUCAAAAGAAUGUUCAGGGAUUUUCCGUGACUAAUAUCUAUUAAUAAACAUUUCUUACAAAUGUCUUGAUGAACGGGAUAAUUACGUUUUUUUUUUUAAAAAAAAACACAAUCGAGUAACGAAGACCGUUAUGAUUAAAUUUCAUUCAUAAAACGUGUCAAUAGUAAUAUUGACCUGAAGAAGUCUUAUCUCUGACGUCACUUAGACACACCUACUCGCGGAAUCCAUCAAUGACUGCUACUCCAAAGGCGGGAAAUAGUACAUACAGGACAUGUCGAUUGUACUUUUGGGUACAUGAAUCUGACCAAGGAUAAUCAAGAAAUCACCACUUGGGAGAAAUCAUUCAUUCACUCGUUGGGGAGUUUGCGUGACAGUGUGUUUCUUAUUAACUCGUACUGGCCUGCAAAAUCCCAAAUGGGGUGGAAACGAUUUCAACUUUUUGUUUGGAGCAUAAAUCAUUAGCCUUGACUGCAGUCAAUAGUGUACACAUGUACGGAUGUGGCGAGUCAGAGUGUUUAUGACAAACAGAACUGUCGGACAUCAUUUUGCAGUUCAGUCAAAUUCAAAUAGUAGAUUUUUCAACUCUUUUAAACUUCGUGUGUUUAUCGAUCCAUGUACAGAUAUCAUACAUGUACAUUAUUUCUUCAGAUGGGGCGAUGCAUUUGAAAAUAUUUACGUUUCCAAUGUG